rnacentral:tRNA from 1 species
GGUGGCUCAGUAGCAGAGUGCUUGCCUUGCAUGCAUGAGGUCCUGGGUUCGAUUCCUCAGCACCA